GUACUGCCCACAUUCCUCUCGGAGUUCUCCAGGAACAUCCACACAGGGAACAUCCCAGAUGCAGACGAUGUUGCUUUUUAGAGGCCACUGGUUGUCGCUCCUCAGCAGAUUAAUGAGUAUGUCAGCUGACUAAAGGUGUGUUUUAAUACAGUUUUCCAGCCCUCUGCAGAUAUAGUCUUUCAUUAGACUCGAGGAGAUAGAGCACCCUCUAUCUCUCUCUUUCAUGAGUUGUGGAUCUUCCCUUGGACGCCCCUCUCUGGAGUUCCUGGGCUUUUAUCCAUGUCAACCAUUAGACGUCAUCAUCUGGCCGACUCCUCCUCUCCACCUUUGUGCAGGCCUCAUCAGUGACGUAGCCCUUCGCAGUGCCAGUGUUGCUCUCUUCCACGGGCUCUUGACCUGCUGUCUUUCACUGGUGAUCUGUGUUUCUCCCCUUCAUCUGGUGAGCUUCUCCAUCUCUAAGGAGUUAUUUCUUCUUUUUUUCAUAGCAGGAGAGUUGUUGUUUCGAGUAUGUGCAUACAUCAGUUAUUUUUAGGUUUUUCUGCUCAACUUUCCUGUAAGUGACAAGAUGCCGCUGUGGGAUCAACCCUGUCACUAUUCAAAACCCUGAUUCCUGAAAUAUCAGAAGAAGGAUUACACACAUUCUGACCAGUAUCAAGGGGAGGACAGUGUGUGGUGCCCCCAGUGGAGGAUGAAGAAGCACUCAGCCCGAGUGGCUCCUCUCAGCUCAUACAGCACUCAGGUCCUGACCUGCCCUAACUUUGAAGCCUCCUGGUAGCAGUGUAAUGGUAAUGGAGUGUGUAAAUGGAGAAUCGUGUGCCUGCGGGACUGUCGAUCGAAGACGCUGAAGAUAUCUACCUAUUCGGAACCAUGAUAACAGGGUUCUUGCUGAUCGGAGCUGGCUUGGCCCUGGCUUAUCGAAGAAUUAAGAAAGCGGAACCGGCUGUUCAAACCCCCACAAGGCUGCCCGCUGGGAUUGAAAUGAUGGGACGAGGCGUGACUUCUCAGAAUGGGCUCAUUGAGUGCAGCACGGAUAAGAUCUUGGAGAAGCUUACGGCUGCCGUGAACACUCAGAAUAACACCUCUGAGCGCAAAUUGGAUCACAUCUUGGACCAGCUCACUGCGUUCGUGAGUUCUCAGAAUCUGCUCUUUGAGCACAAGAAUGACAAGACCACGGAGCACAAGUUUGAUAACAUCAUGGAGAAGCUCACGGCUCUCCAACGGGAGAUUGAGAGACCAGUGUCGGACUGUUAAGAAGAGCUUUGAAAUUAUGAGUUGUUCGCACUAAAGAAAACCACCAUCAUAAUGUGGCUAUCCCUUCGGCGCCAGCUGCGGGCUCAAGGCUGGAGCUGAACAAAAACUCCCUGAUAACGACUGUGUUUAGACUGUUCUUCCCAUUCCAAGCAAGGCCACCUGGGUUGGCUGGAAGACUGUUUACUUAGCCUGGCAGGGCGAAGGACACUGUCUCAGCUGAACUCUGGACACGCACACACAUACACAUACACAUACACUGAUAAGCACUCACUCAUCCCCCCCUUUCCAAACGCCUUCGAUGCUUGUUCCCUCCUAGAGAACAUGACAGGUCUGGGCCCGCGCUGGGAUGGCGGCGCAGUGGCAGGAUGGCUGCUGUGUUUGCUUAGGAUUACUCCUCACCCCCUACCCAACCCUGUGGCUUGUCACAUGCUCCAUAAUGUUGUGCUGUGGACAUUCAUGUGCUUUCUGUGCAGAGGAGUUUUUUUGUUUCCUGUUCUUAUGCUGUCCUCCCAUAGGAGCCCGGCAUGAGUAGAGGUCUCUUUUUUUCCUCUUGUACUUUCCCAUUGUAGUGUACAUUUCAGUGGUUUUCUGUAAUGUUACCGAUCUCCGACCUGUAUCCCCAUGUGAUGUCUGCGUUGUGUGUGUAAGUUCGGGGGGCGGGUCCAUUCCACUGCAGGGCAACCUGCAUGUGGCGAAUAAAGCUGAUUGACUGACUUGACUAAAGCAUGGUAGCGGGCCUGUUGUUGUUCCCCCUCAUCUGAUUAAACAUUUUAGCCCCCCCACCUUUAACUCUGUAAACAGAGAUUACUGUGAUGCCACUAAUUAACUUUUCAUCAGGAUCAUGAUAUCCAUGUCUCAUCUUCAGGCCUAAUAUAGAUAAAGACUUAAUGCGUUUUGACCUGUGCUAAGCUGGCUAAAAACUGCAGACAAGACUAUGGUCGUGUCCAAAUUCAUGGGCUGCAUCCUCCUGAGGCCGCAUUUGUAGACCGAUUACGUCACAGCAACACGCCGAGGCUGUCCAAAUUCGUAGACUCCUCUGAAUGCAAAUGCGUCUUCCUUUUCCCCGAAUUUGAAGGUUGGGUCGGGUGUAUCUUUCGUGGCCCACCAUAUCCCAGAAUUCAUAGCGCGGCCCAGCCAACUCCAGUUUCGAGCAAUGGCGGCCGCUAGUAAGUUUUAAUAUUACUCUUAUUAAUCUUUCUGUGUCACAAAAUAAACUUUUAACACAUUUUCAGGCAAGAAUGUAGCUGUGUAAACUUCAAAUAUCUGCGCGGUUUAUCAAGAAAUCACAUAUUUGCAAAAGUGCUCCGACGUUUACGGCGAGGUCUGUUAUCCACCAGCUCGAUAGCUAGCCAGGAGCUUGAGGGUCACUAGAGCCGCUGAGAACGGCAAACUCCCAGCACAUCAUUUUCAGAUCAGAUUUUCUGUUUUCCCUGAUAGGGGUAUUCCUUGUGUCACUCAAGAAUGCGAGUUUGAUUGAUGACCUUUUGGCCUGAUCUUUUGACCUUACCGGAAGUACUUCGGAAGUGGGAAGCGUGAUUAAUCAAAACCAGAUGUGUGGCUAAUCGAGAUGCAUGACGAAUUGCGUCCGAUGACAAAGAAAAAUUAUGUUUGUAAAGAGAGGGAGGGAGGGGGUCGUACCUGGGGCACAGGUUUGAGGAAAGUUCAGGGGGGAGUCAGUGGAAAUCAGAUCGCAUACAGCUGUAUAGAGAGAGACAGAGAAUUUACAACUUUUUAAAAGAGAGAGAGAGAGAGAGAGCAAAUCGAUCAAACUUUUCUACAGCACGUUAUACCACUCCGGGUCGAGAGGAGCGAUAUAGCAUGGACCGGUUGAAUGACUAUGUCGGAUUGAAGCAUGACCGAAAGCGUGGCAGGGACUUUCCCUUUGAACUUCUUCCUGUUCCAUGAUUAACCUCCAACUGUUAAAUGUUUCCUCAAUAUUGCUGUAAGUAACAACAAAGUUAGUUUUUUAGGAUCAGACAGGGGUCCAGUCCCAAAACUUUCCUUAUACAUUCCCACAGACUUGAGCUGUCACUGAAUUAGCAUCUGUGGGACAAAUAAGCUUCAGGGACUGACUUGCCUUUUAGAACCGACCUUACGAGGCCUUUAGAGGCCUUUUAAUUUUUACCCAAAGAGAAAUUUGAUCCUCACAAACUAAUAUCAGAUAAAACAAAAAACAAAAACAUGAUACUGUUUAGUUGUGAUGAACAGUAACCACUUACCUCAACUUUGAUGGGUUUUUUUUCUCAGCUAUUUAUUCUGCACAGAGCGUUUCUGGUGUGGCUUAUGCAAAAGAGAAUUGCAACAACACAGCAUGUUUCUCUUCUCCCUUUCACACAGUAAGUAUGUCUGUUGUAGACUGCGCUUUAUAAAUGUCUCUUUGAUUAUUCAAUCGGUCUUUGAAAACUUUAUCGUCAUCACCAGCAUGCUUUGUACCUCAGGCUCAUCCGAGACAAUCGUAUCCAGGUAAAAUAAUUUUCUUUAAUCUACACACUUUUAGGAAUUAAUUAGCUAAUUUCAUGGAUAAUUUCAGUGACUGAAUUAUUGCCGGUCAUUCGUACAUUUACUUUAUUAUAUAAAAUAUGUAAAUUAAAUCUCUUUGAAACUUUUAGAAUCUAAUCUGUUGGUUUCUUUUUUUCAUAGCAUUUUAUCAAAGUGUUGUCUGCUACAAAGUUAAAAGUAUUGUACUAGUAGUAAUAUACCAUCCACUAUCUCCUGCUUGCAUAUUUCUGAAAACAUGUUAGUGGUGUGGUGGCCAUGGAUUGAGCCAGCCCUGCAAACCCUGUGGAUGGACGAUGCAGUGGACAGUGGGAGGAAGCAUCCUGAAGCUCUCUUUGCAGACCACUGUGUGUGAUUCUCCACUCGCCGACCAGAAAAGACAAACGGCAGGUCUCAGUUGCAGCACCUCAUCCAUCCAUGUCUGAUCCUGCAUCGGCAGAUUCAGCAACACAGCCAGAGACUUCCUGUAAUCUAUUACAGUUGUUAAAAAAAAAAAAAACGGUCCAGGAACAGGUCACUCAGGUUAAUCCUGUAUAAACAACUGUAAAUAUCGUUUUUUCUUCUUUAAAUAUUGUUGGCUUAUUAGAAAUAUUCUUGUUCAAUUGUUGUUGUUAUUUACUUUAUUGCCAUCAAAUAAAUAUCCAUGUAAAAUUGUCCAAAGUUAGCAUUAUGUUCAUACAUGUUAAAAAUACCUGAAAAUAAAAUGAGUUCAGUGACAGUUAGUGUUUGUUGUAGUCAAUUUAUUAAUAACAAAAAAACUUUUAAACUAAUGCAACACAUAUAACAAUGUCACAAAAUAUUCAAAUAAAUACAUUUCUUAAUGCAUAACUGAUUUUGGAUCUGAUCUUUCAAGAAGUGAAAGUCUGUCCAUCCUCUCACUGAUCGAAUCGAUCGAUUCGGGACCUUGUGAAUCUGAAUCGAAGCCCAACUCGUCUCCACCAAACGCG
ensembl:lncRNA